ensembl:lncRNA
GUCAAACACCAAAGGUGUACCAGGCAGAUGUGCACCCAAGGAGGCAAGGAAGUCACAUAUAGUGAGGUUGUUCCAGCUCUCUGCAUUUCCUCUGAAUAUUUGCCUCCAUAGACUAACUGCAGAGUAUUUACACUAUUAUCGAUUUCCCAUGUUAGGCACAUACAAUGAUGGUUUUAAAUAAAGUGAAUUUUGCUCCUGGUCUUUAAGUUUGAACAAUCCAGACCUCAUUGUGGCCUUCCAACACUUGAAGGGAGCAUAUAAACAGGAGGGGAAACGGCUGUUUACAAGGGUGGACAGUGAUAGGACAAGGGGAAAUGGUCUUAAACUGAGACAGGGGAGGUUUAGGUUAGAUAUUAGAAAGAAGUUUUUCACCCAGAGGGUGGUGAGGCACUGAACAGGUUGCCCAAGGAGGCUGUGGAUGCCCCAUCCCUGGAGGCAUUCAAGGCCAGGCUGGAUGUGGCUCUGGGCAGCCUGGUCUGCUGGUUGGCGACGCUGCACAUAGCAUAGGGGUUGAAACUCAAUGGUCACUGUGGUCCUUUUCAACCCAGGCCAUUCUAUGAUUCUAUGAAGAUAGUGAAGCUGAAAUGUAUCUGCCUGAUUUUUUUGUUCAGAAGGAAUGUUAAUAGCAAGUAUAAUACGAGAAGUACAUUAAGAAGACGUCUAGAUUAUUGUCACUUGAAGUAAUCCAACUGGAGCUUGGUGGCUUCUCUAAGACAGCCCUAUGCUAAAAGGUACUAGGAAAUCUCCAGAAGCUGCUGAUCAGCUAAGUGCAUCCUUCAGACGUUUCUUGUUUAAAAACAAACAACUAAACAACAACAACACUUCGGCAUUGGAGAGAAUUAAUAUACAGAUUUCUAUCCAUUGAUUGAAGACAAUCGGGUGAAGGCAUUUAGAAACAACCACAAGAGCAUUGCACAGUACUCAAGUGGACACCUACUAAAGCAAGUAAUUGAGUAAGACAGGGAUGACUUGGAUAUCCACAGAGGCUUUGUCACUGAUUUUUUGGAACCUGAGAUUUCUUAUGAACAUGUAGAACUAGGUGCUAACAGUUGUGAGGGUCAGUACUGCACGGUCAUAGAAUCAUAGAAUGGCCUGGGUUGAAAAGGACCACAAUGAUCAUCUAGUUUCAACCCCCUGCUAUGUGCAGGGGUCACCAACCACCAGACCAGGCUGCCCAGAGCCACAUCCAGCCUGGCCUUGAAUGCCUCCAGGGAUGGGGCAUCCACAACCUCCUUGGGCAACCUGUUCCAGUGCAUCACCACCCUCUGGGUGAAAAACUUCCUCCUAAUAUCUAACCUAAACCUCCCCUGUCUCAGUUUAAAACCAUUCCCCCUUGUCCUAUCACUAUCCAC